rnacentral:rRNA from 1 species
AUUGAACGCUGGCGGCAUGCCUAACACAUGCAAGUCGAACGGCAGCAUGGUCUAGCUUGCUAGACUGAUGGCGAGUGGCGCACGGGUGAGUAACGCGUGGGAAUAUGCCUUGAAGAGCGGGACAACUUAGGGAAACUUAAGCUAAUACCGCAUAAGCUCUACGGAGGAAAGCUGGGGACCGCAAGGCCUGGCGCUUUAAGAAUAGCCUGCGUCCGAUUAGCUAGUUGGUGGGGUAAAGGCCUACCAAGGCGACGAUCGGUAGCUGGUCUGAGAGGACGGCCAGCCACACUGGGACUGAGACACGGCCCAGACUCCUACGGGAGGCAG